rnacentral:rRNA from 1 species
AUUGAACGCUGGCGGCAGGCCUAACACAUGCAAGUCGAACGAGUGGCGGACGGGUGAGUAAUGUCUGGGAAACUGCCUGAUGGAGGGGGAUAACUACUGGAAACGGUAGCUAAUACCGCAUACCAUCGAAUGUGCCCAGAUGGGAUUAGCUAGUAGGUGGGGUAACGGUUCACCUAGGCGACGAUCCGUAGCUGGUCUGAGAGGAUGACCAUCAAGACUGGAACUGAGACACGGCCCAGACUCCUACGGGAGGCAGCAGUGGGGAAUAUUGAACAAUGGGCGCAAGCCUGAUGCAGCCAUGCCGCGUGUAUGAAGAAGGCCUUCGGGUUGUAAAGUACUUUCAGCGGGGAGGCGUUACCCGCAGAAGAAGCACCGGCUAACUCCGUGCCAGCAGCCGCGGGAAUAC